AGAAAGGGGGCAACUCCGAGUAAAGUGGCGCACGGGUGCGUAACACGUAGGCAAUCUACUCUCAGGAGGGGGAUAACUACCCGAAAGGGUAGCUAAUACCGCAUAAGACCACGGCUUCCCCGGAAGCUGCGGUCAAAGGUGGCCUCUACUUGUAAGCUAUCACCUGAGAAUGAGCCUGCGGCCCAUCAGCUAGUUGGCAGGGUAACGGCCUACCAAGGCUACGACGGGUAGCUGAUCUGAGAGGAUGAUCAGCCACACUGGCACUGAAACACGGGCCAGACUCCUACGGGAGGCAGCAGUGGGGAAUAUUGGACAAUGGACGCAAGUCUGAUCCAGCGACGCCGCGUGGGUGAUGAAGGCCUUCGGGUUGUAAAGCCCUGUGGGCAGGGAAGAAAACGGUCCGGAAUAACAAGACGGAUCCUUGACGGUACCUGCUCAGAAAGCACCGGCUAACUCUGUGCCAGCAGCCGCGGUAAGACAGAGGGUGCAAACGUUGCUCGGAAUUACUGGGCGUAAAGCGCGUGUAGGUGGAUUGGUGUGUCAGAUGUGAAAGCCCUGGGCUCAACCCAGGAACUGCACCUGAAACUACCAGUCUUGAGUGGUGGAGAGGGAAGUGGAAUUCCUGGUGUAGAGGUGAAAUUCGUAGAUAUCAGGAGGAACACCAGUGGCGAAGGCGGCUUCCUGGACACUAACUGACGCUGAGACGCGAAAGCGUGGGGAGCAAACAGGAUUAGAUACCCUGGUAGUCCACGCCGUAAACGAUGGGCACUAGGUGUCGCAGGUUUUGACCCCUGCGGUGCC
rnacentral:rRNA from 1 species